UGUAUCUAUGGUGAGCUUUGGAGUGAUUUCUCACUCUAUAAAUAGGGUUGUUCAUUCACUAUUGUAAUAUAGACAUAUGAAAGUUAUAUACACUUGAAUAAGAAGAAAAUUCUCAUUCUUCUAUCUACUUCUCUUUAUGAUUAUAUUCUUAUGGGCUUGAUUUUAUAACACACCUUACAUUAACUAAUAAAAGUUUCAGAAGAUAACUUAGUUUAUUAGACACAAACAGUACAAGGAUUAAUCGAUACACAGACCAACGAUGAACGUUUUUAUUUAGAUCAUACUAUAUAGAUCACGUUCAUAAAGCUGCACUCGUCGAACUGCUAACUACUCGAGACAAAACAUGAUUAUAGUUUCGAGUCAGUCAUACGUUAAACCUUUGGAGCCCACCCUGCGAUGACGUACUUCUCUUCAGCCUUGGUUUUCUGGAACGACUCUCGCUCGAAGAGCAGCUUCAUGUAGUUACGCACAUGACUCAAGCUUUCAGGCACACUCCACUUCUUGAAGUGUCCAAGAGCCACCUCGAGAUGGUACAGUUUUGGAGCCAAGCUCAUAUCAACUGAACAAACAUUCUGCCCAUUGAUAUAUGGUCCAUGAGCCUUGAGAUGCUCUUCCAAAGCCUUUAGUUCAUCAAGGAGAGCCUGCUCAGUACUGUCACUAGAAUCCUUGCUCUUCAGAAAUGAGACGAAGGUAGGAAAUAUUUUCGAGCCCACAGAGGCAAAUUCAGGGGGAGCAAUGAGAGAGGGAUUUGGGUAUUUCUCUUCAAUAAUCCCAACAAUGACAUCAGAAUCUGGGAUCCAUUUGUCACCAAAAUUGAUCACGGGAACUUUCCCUUCAGGGUUCACCUCCAAGAACCAUUUGGGCUUGUCACUAACAUUGAUCACGGGAACUUUCCCUUCAGGGUUCACCUCCAAGAACCAUUUGGGCUUGUCACUAACAUUGAUCAAGUGCUUCUUGUAAGUCACUUUCUUUUCCUCCAAUGUCAGAAGUACCCUUUGGCUAAAUGGACAGUCUCCAAGGACAUCAGGGGCACCCACAGCAGCCUUGACACAAACUUCAACAACCAUGAUUGAUGAACAGAGAGAAUUCUGAAGAAGAUAA
rnacentral:misc_RNA from 1 species